rnacentral:rRNA from 1 species
AUUGAACGCUGGCGGAAUGCUUUACACAUGCAAGUCGAACGGUAGAGGGGGCAACCCCUUGAGAGUGGCGAACGGGUGAGUAAUAUAUCGGAACGUGCCCAGUCGUGGGGAUAACGUAGCGAAAGUUACGCUAAUACCGCAUACGAUCUAAGGAUGAAAGCGGGGGAUCGCAAGACCUCGCGCGAUUGGAGCGGCCGAUAUCAGAUUAGGUAGUUGGUAGGGUAAAAGCCUACCAAGCCUGCGAUCUGUAGCUGGUCUGAGAGGACGACCAGCCACACUGGAACUGAGACACGGUCCAGACUCCUACGGGAGGCAGCAGUGGGGAAUUUUGGACAAUGGGCGAAAGCCUGAUCCAGCAAUGCCGCGUGCAGGACGAAGGCCUUCGGGUUGUAAACUGCUUUUGUACGGAACGAAAAGGUAGCUCCUAAUACGAGCUGCUGAUGACGGUACCGUAAGAAUAAGCACCGGCUAACUACGUG